rnacentral:rRNA from 1 species
UACGUAGGGCGCAAGCGUUGUCCGGAAUCAUUGGGCGUAAAGCGCGUGUAGGCGGUCCGGUAAGUCCGCUGUGAAAGUCGGGGGCUCAACCCUCGAAUGCCGGUGGAUACUGUCGGGCUAGAGUGCGGAAGAGGCGAGUGGAAUUCCUGGUGUAGCGGUGAAAUGCGCAGAUAUCAGGAGGAACACCAAUUGCGAAGGCAGCUCGCUGGGACGUUACUGACGCUGAGACGCGAAAGCGUGGGGAGCAAACAGG